UGUCACCUAAAGAGCCGUUGAAGACUACGACGUUGAUAGGUUGGAUGUGGAAGUGUAGCGAUACAUGAAGCUGACCAAUACUAAUUGCUCGUGAGGCUUGACUAUACAACACCCAAACAGUUG
rnacentral:rRNA from 2 species